rnacentral:sRNA from 1 species
AGACGCACCUAAAUGGCAUCUAGCGUGGGUCCGGCUCCCAAAGGGUUAGCUCAGGAGGCGCACAGCGGCAGCCCUCCCGCCUGAGUGGAGAGAUGGGGCGGAUGCCAGGCAUGCCUUUCGUGGUUAUUUUUAUUUUGCAUGGGAAACCAUGGGAACACAACAAGGAGAAAGCAUGUCUUCCACGUGCUAGGGGAACAGACCUGGGACAGAUGAGGUCCUUGGGAGAAGGUGGAGCCUGGGAGGUGAGGGCUGAGAAUGUGCCGGGCAGAGGCCAGGGGUAGACCCAGGACUUGGGGGUGCAGUUGUCCGAUUCCUAUGUGGGGGGUGAGGGGGCGCUGAGAGGAGCCAGCCCCGCAUGGAACAGUGUGGCCUUCCCAGCAGUUCAACUGGGACACUGUGCUCAGAGGCACCUGGCAGGCUCCCCUGCCCCCGGAAGUCUCCAGAUUAAAAAGCACUUCGCUCCCG